rnacentral:lncRNA from 1 species
AAGCUCUCAUCGCCCUACCACCUCCAGGCACCACUUAACUCCUCCAGACCAGCACCACGCAAAUGACGAAAGCUCAUAUAGCUGCCAUUCCUGGCAAUGGCAUUAAUUUCCAUUAACCGUUGCUGGAGAUGAUGGGUAACUUUUUUUAUUUAAGCCUCAGUUAUAGCAUUUUUCUGUACUUUUAUCAUAUACAAGGCAUAUUUUUCUUUUUUUUUAGAUUUUUAUAUAUAGUUGGUGAAAUUUUAAAUAUUAAAAAUGAAUUUAAAAGUUAAUCCGACAUAUCUGUUUAACUUGUCAUCCUCAACAUUCGGAGUACAUUUCCAUGGAACCAUUACAUCAUUUCAAAGCACUACCAAACAAAAAUAUCCUUAUAAUGACGAAAAAACCAUAAAUUAGAACUUUUUGUUUUUUUGUUAAUUUUCUAGUGCUAUUAAUUUGUAUUUUGCCUUUUUGGCUUUCGGUUAAAAAAAAUAUCAAAGAAACCAAAGGAAUCAUAAGCCGCCAAAUUUAUUUUUUUUUGGUAACAAUCAUACGCCACUUUGUUUGUUUAAGAAAAAAGAAACCAGAUUUGACUUAUUCCAUAAACAAUGGAUUUAUUCGGUUGAAAAACAACGGCAUCUUCAAAACUUGUAAUCUAAACACUAAGUUAACCCAAGUGCGUUUAUACCAUGAUCUAAAACCCCAAUUUUGACUUCUUAACUGAAAUUAAACGAUAAUCAUAAAAUUUUGGAAUAAAUUCUAAUGUCACAUCAAUUAGGAAAAGCCAAAAAAGAAAAAAUGCAAUUUACAUUUUAGAACCAAUACAUCAUAACAAAAAAUAAAAAUAAAAAAACUCACUUUCAUCUUAUUAAUAAAUUGUCCUUUCACAGAAAAAACAAUUGUGAACUAGUUAGUUUGGGAAAUAAUUUUUAAGAUGUUUUUAUUUUGGUUAUUUAAAAUGAAAUUAUUAUAUUUUGGUUACUCAAUUCUUAAGUUGUUUUUAUUUUAAUCAUUUAAAAUAUAUUAUCUUUUAAGUAUUAAUUAGGUAAAAAAUUAAAAAUUAAAAUAAAAAAGUGAUAAAAAUUAAAAUAAUACAUAAAAUUUGUCAAAUUGUAUUUAUUCAUCCCAUUUUUGAAAAUAUUAAUUUUUUUAAUAUUAAAAAUUUAAAUUUUAAAAUAUUAAAAUCAAUUAAAUAAAUUAUUGAAAAUUUUAAUCCCUUGAUAGUGUCACCUAAUUUGUUACUUGAACAAAAAAAAAUCUAUUUUAAGUGAUCAAAAUGAAAACGACCCAAACGUUAGAUGACUAAAAUAAAAAUGUAAUCAUAAUGUGUUAUGUAUAAUUAAUCGACAUUAAAAAUUUAACGCUUGAGUGGUUAAAAUAAAAUCCCUUAAAAAUUGAACAACUAACUUGUGACAGCCCUAAAGUGACCCUAGUCGGAAAGCGGUUUCGGGACCGCUAAACCGAGUCACCAAACUAUUUGAAUAUGAUAUUUAUUGUCUAAAAUAUGUGAUUAUGAAUGUGUGAAAGUUUUAAGCUUCGAUUUAGUAAAUUGCAAGUGAAAUUAGUCAAUAGGACUUAUGUGUGACACUUUUGAAAUGUGAUAGGUUAAUCUAUAAGGAUCUAUUAGUGCAUGUAAUCAAAGGGGUGGACUUGCAUGUCAAUUUCCCCCAUUUAAUUACUAGUGGCCGGCCAUGACAAAGGGUGAUGGGAAAAACAAGUCAUAAAACAUGUUGUGAUAAUGGUUUAUGUUAGAAAAAAAUAAAAUAAGGAGUAUGGGCAAUAAAAUAAUAAUGGGAAGGUAAAUGAUGAAAAAAAAAUGUGUGUGGUUGCCUCCCCCAUUGCCGUGAAUUGAAAAAAAAAAGAAAGAAGUUCUCAUGUUUUUCUUGGCCGAAUGGGAGAAAGAGAAGAAGGGGGAAGAGCUUUGAGAAAAUCGGCUAUGGUGGGUUGCUAGACUAAGGUAUGUUUGAUGUUGUCCAUGAGAUUCAUGCAUGUUUUUAGUUGUUAGUUUGAGUUCUACCUAGCCCAUGGUUUAAAUCUUUGCUAUGAGAUGGAGAUGAUAUUCGGCCAUGGGUGUUGUCUUCUUGGUUGAUGUUUGAUGUUGUGGUGAUGAGGCAUGAAGAUGAGUCAAGUUUCGGCUAAGGUGGAUUUGUGUUGAUGUCAUUUGCAUGCUAAGUGUGAAGCUUUGUAAUGAUACAUGUGAUGGUGAUUGAUGACUCUUGGAUUUUCUUUUUGGCAUUUUUGAGUUAGACAUUAAGUUCCUUGUGUAACCCAUGACCAAAAUUGAAUGGUAUGGUGUCUUGAUGCAUUCGGCCAUGGUAGAAAGUAUAUGUGAAAUGGUAGUAAGGUGAAGUGCAAAAUGUUAGUAUUUGAUUACUAGUGUAUAUAUGCGUAUUAGCCGAGUUUUGAACUUGAAACAAAAUGAUAUAUAAUCAAUACAAGUAACUAUACUUGUAGGAAGUAUUAAGCAUAUAAUCGGCCUCAACAUAGACAUGCAUAUUCGGCCAUAGGAAGAAGAUUGGUGUUGCAUGUAUUCGGUUAGAGGCAAGCAUAUUGAUGCUUUUAUCUUGGCUUAGACAAUCGGCUAAAAGAGAGUGUGGGCUAAUAUGUUGAGUUGAUUUAUGAUUUCAUAUGUAUGUGACUUUAAUGUCUAAUGUAUAUAUAUAUGGGCUAAGUACCUUGAGUUCCUCUUUUGAUGCUCAAAUGAUUAAAUCAAUUUAUUUGUUAAAUUAAGCUCAAGAGCAAAGGGGAACUAAAUCCGAUAAAGGGAAGGAAAAAGUGGUCGAAUAGCCAUCGAAAUCGUUCGACAACAUCCGAGGUAAGUUUUCGAGCAAUGGGACUUAGUUUAUGAUUUGAUUAAGUCAUGAUGUAUGAGCAUAACAAAUAUACGGUGAUAUGAUGAUUCUACUUGAAUUAUAUGAUGAGUUAAUUAGUCUAUACGUAUGACGGGUAGCCGUAUGUGCAUAGAGAUCGUGUCAUAAAGCAAACUAAACAUGCUGUUUGUAUGUGGCUAGUGAGCUGAAAAUGGGAGUGCUUAAUACGUGACUUGUGUUUGAACUCUAAUUAUGAAAAUGAGAUAUAAAUGUGUCAUGAUUUAUUGAUAUGUGCAUGAAUAUUCGGAUGAUAACCGGGCUAAGUCCCGAAGGCAUUUGUACGAGUUAUUACAUCCGGGCUAAGUCCCGAAGGCAUUUGUGCGAGUUAUUACAUCCGAGCUAAGUCCCGAGGGCAUUUGUGCGAGCUACUAUAUCCGGGCUAAGUCCCGAAGGCAUUGGUGCGAGUUACUAUAUCCGGGCUAUGUCCCGAAGGCAUUGAGCGAGUAGCUAUAUCCGGUUAAAUCCCGAAGGUACUUGGCUUGGGAAUGAAUGACCUUGCUGUAAUAGUUUCAAUUAAUAUGCUCGUAAAAUCCCAGCAAUGAGGUAUGUCUCGUACAUGCAUCGAUUUAGUUGAUCCCUUACAGUUAGUAUUCGCUCAGUCGAUAAAUGAGCUACCGGCAUUUGGCUAAGUUGAUCUUUUGUGUAUGAAUAUAAGGGUUGGUAAUGUGAAGUAAGUGUGAUAUUGAGAAUUUGUGCAUAUGAAAUUAUCUAUUUAGCCAUAUGAAUGCUACGCUUUAGUUGUGUCUAAUUUCAUGGCUCAAAACUUACUAAGCAUUUAAUGCUUACUCCGUUUCUUUGAUUCUCUAUUUUAUAAAUUUUGGUUCGUCAGUUAUCGGACUCGGGAUUAUUGAAGUCGAAGUCUCCCACACAAUCAAAGCCCCUUUUGGUACACUUUUGGUUGAACUUUGAAAUGACAUGUAUAGGACUACCCUUUUGUUGUGGGUCAUGUACCCUUUGGUUUUGUAUAAAUUUGGAUAGCCAUGCGAAAAUGGCUUAUAUAUAUUUUUGAGCAUAAUGUUAUAAUCAUUUUGUAUGUAUAUGGUUAUUGAGAGGUGUGGAUAUGCUUGGCAAAGAUUGGACAUUGGAAUGGUUAAUCACGAUCAUACUUUGUGCUAUAUGCUAAAGGGUUAGUUGAAUCAUGGAAACUAUGUAAUAGGUAAAAUCUACCUUAAAGGUAGAUACUGAUAGAAGCAGUGGUGUGAAUUUGAAAAAUCACUAAAAAUAGUAGGAAUGGAAUUAAAUAGUGAAUAAAUUAUGUAAUCGAACCUUGAUGAACCUACUUCCAUAUGGAAGAAACGAAACGGUCAUAUAAGUCGUAUUUUAAGAGAUAUUUAAGUUUUCGCGGGACAGGGCCAGAGUGAUUUCUGGAUCCCCUGAUCUUACUUUGGAAAUUCAUUAUAAAUUAACCAGAGAUAAUUAGAAGUCAUGCCAUAUAUGUAUAGAUUCCUUUUUGAGUCUAGUUUCAUUAGAAACAAACAUCAUAAGUAUUGAAUCCCUGUAUAAGGAGUUAUCUAAGUCGCAAUGCAGGAAGGUCAGUGUAGUCGAACCCUGUAACAGGGUAGACUUUAACUAAUAAACUGUACUAUUUGGCUUGACCAAAAAUUCUAGAAAAAAAUUUAUGGAUGGAUAUAUGAGUCUAGUUUCAGGGAAAAAUUACGAAACUGAUUUUUGAGUUUUGGAACUCAAGAUAUGAUUUUUAAGGUGACAGUGACGCAGUUAGCCAGCUGUCUGGAAAAUUUUUAAAAUGGACUGUGAACAUACAUGAAUUAUGUCUGUUAGCACCUCGUGGUCGCUUCCGACAACGGUCUCGGGUACGGGGUGUUACAAUUUUAUUGGUAUCAGAGCUACGGUUUAGUCAAUUCUAGGACUACCGUAAUACGUGUGGGUCUAGCAUACAUGCCAUUUUGUGAUUAUUUGAUAGUGUGGUGAUUUCUGACAUUUGCAAAUGUGUUUAUUUAUAGUAAUGGAUCCCGAUCCUGACCGAGCGGUAGUUGAUGAUCUUGAGAGUGUAGCGCUUGCUCCCGCACAAGGGACAGCGCCGGCGGACUCUCAACCUAUUGCUAGCAAUCCGAAUGAUGAGGCUAGGUAAGCUUUUUAUAGCGUGAUGAAUGAUUGGUUCAACCAAUACAUUCGAACUAAUACGGCUGUUCCAGAACCUCCAUUCCCGACUAAUGCCGCCCUCGCACCUACAAUACCUCCGAAAACUGACCAAAUAAGGUCAAAUAAGCCCCCAGUUGACAGAAUCCGAAAACACGGGGCUACCGAAUUUAAGGCUACGGAUAGCGAUGAUGCCGAGCAAGCUGAAUUUUGGUUGGACAACAUUAUUCGGGUACUCGAUGAGCUAUCUUGCACACCCGAUGAGUGCCUAAAGUGUACUAUCUCCUUGCUACGUGAUUCUGCCUACUAUUGGUGGAAUACGUUGACUUCUGUUGUGCCCAGAGAGCAAGUAACUUGGGAGUUUUUCCAAACCGAGUUUCGGAAAAAGUAUAUCAGUCAGAGAUUUAUGGAUAAAAAACGGAAGGAAUUUCUUGAACUUAAACAAGGUUCCAUGUCGGUUACCGACUAUGAACGAAAAUUUGUGAGGCUUAGCCGAUACGCACGAGAAUGCAUUUCCUCAGAAGCCGUAAUGUGUAAACGUUUCGAGGAUGGACUGAAUGAUGAUAUAAAGCUGUAUGUUGGCAUCUUAGAAAUUCGAGAAUUUGUGGUACUUGUCGAGCGAGCUUGCAAAGCCGAGGAGCUCAGUAUGGAGAAAAGAAAAGCUGAUAUGGGAGCAAAGGAGUUUCGUAAGAGGUCUUCGGGGAGGCCCUUUCAACAAUCAUCGAAAAAGUUUAGAGAUGAUUUGGGCCGAUCUAGAGACACUUCGGGUUUUUCUAGACGAGACCGUGAUCGACCCCCUGUGAGUGCACAAGUCACUUCGGUCGCCAGUGUUGGAAAUGACCGUCGAGACAGAACGGAGUGCCAGUAUUGUGGUAAAUGGCACUCGAGGAGUUGUAGAUUCCAUGACCGCUCCUGUUACAAGUGCGGGUCAGCUGACCACUUUAUUAGAGAUUGCCCGAGAUUGUCUGAACACAACGUAAAUCAGAGUGGGAAGCCUGGUGCUACUACUGCUCGGGGUAGACCAUCUAGGAAUACGGGCAAUGCUAGUGGAAGUCAGAGAGGAUCUAGAGAUGCUACAACCAGAUCUGAGGCUCGUGCUCCUGCUAGAGCUUACGCUAUACGCGCACGCGAGGAUGCUUCCUCGCCAGAUGUUAUUACCGGUACUUUUACUCUCUUUGAUACUAAUGUGAUUGCUUUGAUUGACCCUGGUUCUACUCAUUCUUAUAUAUGUGAAACCUUAGCAUCCAGUAAGACUCUACCUGUUGAGUCUACUGAGUUUGUAAUUCGGGUGUCAAAUCCUUUGGGUCGUUACGUGCUUGUCGACAAAGUGUGCAAGAAAUGUCCCCUAGUAAUCCGAGGUUCCUGUUUUCUGGCCGAUUUGAUGCUUUUACCGUUUUACGAGUUUGAUGUUAUCCUCGGUAUGGAUUGGUUGACCGUACAUGAUGCAAUUGUAAAUUGAAAAAGAAAAACCAUCGAUUUGAGGUGUGUAAAUAACGAGAUAAUCCGAGUUGAGUCUACGGACUUAAAGGGGUUGCCAGCUGUAAUAUCAUCAAUGUUGGCCCAGAAAUAUGUAAGAAAGGGGUGCGAAGCAUACCUUGCGUAUAUACUUGAUGACAAAGAGUUAGAAAAGAAAACCGAAUCUGUGCCGGUGGUUUGUUGAAUACCCGGAUGUUUUUCUCGAGGAAUUACCGGGUUUACCACCUGUUCGGGAGGUAGAGUUUGGUAUUGAGCUUGUACCUGGGACUACGCCGAUUUCGAUAGCUCCGUAUCGUAUGGCACCAACCGAGUUAAAAGAGUUGAAAGCUUAGUUGCAAGAAUUGACGGAUAGAGGUUUCGCUCGACCAAGUUUCUCACCUUGGGGUGCACCAGUAUUGUUUGUGAAAAAGAAGGACGAAACCAUGAGGUUGUGCAUCGACUAUCGUCAGCUGAAUAAGGUGACAAUAAAGAAUAAAUAUCCGAUGCCGCGCAUUGAUAAUUUGUUUGAUCAACUAAAGGGAGCCUCAGUGUUUUCAAAGAUAGACUUGAGAUCGGGUUAUUAUCAGUUGGUAAUUCGAGAUUCAGAUAUACCCAAAACUGCUUUCAGAACGAGAUACGGUCACUACGAAUUCUUAGUGAUGCCGUUUGGGCUCACUAAUGCCCCUGCGGUAUUUAUGGAUUUGAUGAAUCGGAUCUUCAGACCGUAUUUGGAUCGGUUUGUAGUUGUGUUUAUCGAUGAUAUUUUAGUUUAUUCGAGAAAUGAAACCGAUCAUGUUGAACACCUGGGAUUAGUGUUGCAAAUUUUGUGGGAUAAGCAGUUAUAUGCUAAGUUCAAUAAGUGUGAGUUCUGGUUAAGAGAGGUUAGCUUCUUGGGUCAUGUGGUAUCUGCAUCGGGUAUUCGAGUUGACCCGAGCAAAAUUUCAGCCAUACUUAACUGGAAGCCUCCGAGAAAUAUUACUAAGGUUUGAAGCUUUUGGGGACUUUCUGGUUACUACCGACGGUUUGUAAAAGGUUUUUCGAUGAUAGCCACACCAAUGACGAAGCUACUUCAAAAAGAUGUUAAGUUCGAAUGGACGAAAAAAUGUCAGAAAAGUUUCGAUCAACUGAAAACUUAUCUGACUGAAGCUCCAAUUCUAGUGCAGCCCGAAUCAGGCAAAGAGUUUGUCAUUUAUAGUGAUGCCUCCCUACUUGGGUUGGGUUGCGUAUUGAUGCAAGAAGGUCGAGUUGUGGCCUAUGCGUUGAGACAAUUAAAUCCACAUGAGAAAAAUUAUCCGACUCAUGAUCUCGAAUUAGCUGUCAUCAUAUUCGCUUUGAAAAUAUGGCGACAUUACUUAUUUGGUGAGAAGUGCCAUGUAUUUUCGGAUCACAAAAGUCUCAAAUAUUUGAUGACUCAAAGAGACUUGAAUCUGCGAGAAAGGCGUUGGCUUGAGUUGUUGAAAGAUUAUGAACUUGUCAUUGACUAUCACCCAGGAAAGGCUAAUGUGGUUGCGGAUGCCUUAAGUCGUAAAUCACUGUUUUCUUUACGAGUGAUGAAUGUACACUUGUCUGUUCUAUCCGACAAUGUGUUAGUGGCGGAAUUAAAGGCCAAACCAUUGUUGAUUCAUCAAAUUCGUGAAGCUCAGAAAGUCGAUGAUGAAUUGGUUGCAAAAUGGGCUGAAUGUGUUCCGAAUAUGGAAUCAGAGUUUCAAAUUGAUGAUGACGAUUGUUUGAGGUUCAGAAGUCGGUUGUGUGUUCCAAGAAAUUCAGAACUCAUUUCGAUGAUUCUGAACGAAGCUCAUUGUAGCCGAAUGUCAAUUCACCCGGGGAGUACGAAAAUGUACAACGAUCUGAGACGUCAGUUUUGGUGGCAUGGUAUGAAACGAGACAUUUCCGAUUUUGUCUCGAAGUGCUUAGUAUGUCAGCAAGUGAAGGCGGAACAUCAAGUGCCUACUGGUUUACUUCAGCCGAUCAUGAUACCUGAAUGGAAAUGGGAUCGAGUCACGAUGGAUUUUGUGUCUGGGUUGCCAUUGUCGACAAGUAAGAAAGAUGCGAUUUGGGUUGUUGUCGAUAGACUAACUAAGUCGGCUCAUUUUAUCCCCGUACGUACGGAUUUUUCAUUGGAUAAACUAGCUGAAUUGUAUGUUUCUCAGAUUGUGAGAUUACACGGGGUACCGAUUUCUAUUGUGUCGGAUAGAGAUCCGAGAUUCACCUCGCGAUUUUGGAAGAAAUUGCAAGAAGCUUUAGGUACCAAGCUGCAUUUUAGCACCGCUUUUCAUCCACAAACCGAUGGUCAAUCCGAGCGGAUAAUUCAGAUACUUGAGGAUAUGUUGAGAUGUUGCAUCCUCGAGUUUAGUGGCUCAUGGGAGCGGUAUUUACCUUUGAUUGAAUUCGCUUACAACAAUAGUUUUCAAUCAAGUAUUAAGAUGGCACCUUACGAGGCUUUGUACGGGCGUAAAUGCCAUACGCCAUUGUUUUGGACCGAGCUCGGUGAAAGCAAAAUUUUCGGAGUGGAUUUGAUUAAAGAUGCUGAACAGAAAGUAAAAAUAAUUCGUGAAAGUCUGAAGGCAGCACCAGAUCGUCAGAAGUCGUAUGCGGAUUUAAAACGAAGAAAUAUUGAGUAUCAGGUGGGAGACAAAGCGUUUCUUAAGGUUUCACCUUGGAAAAAGAUACUCAGAUUUGGCCGUAAGGGCAAAUUGAGUCCGAGAUUCAUUGGGCCGUAUGAAAUCUCCGAACUAGUUGGUCCAAUUGCGUAUAGAUUAAUUUUGCCCCCUGAACUUGAAAAGAUUCACGACGUCUUUCAUGUUUCGAUGCUUCGACGUUAUAGAUCUGAUCCAUCGCACAUAAUUAAUCCAUCAGAGUUUGAAAUUCAACCUGAUAUGAGUUAUGAAGAAGAACCGAUUCGUAUCCUGGCUCGUGAAGUGAAAGAGUUACGAAACAAAAGGGUUCCGUUAGUGAAAGUGUUAUGGCUCAAACACGGGAUCGAAGAAGCUACUUGGGAACCCGAGAACUCUAUGAAAGAGCGAUACCCAAACCUAUUUACCGGUAAGAUUUUCGGGGACGAAAAUUUCGUAAGUGGGGGGGAAUUGUGACAGCCCUAAAGUGACCCUAGUCGGAAAGCGGUUUCGGGACCGCUAAAUCGAGUCACCAAACUAUUUGAAUAUGAUAUUUAUUGUCUAAAAUAUGUGAUUAUGAAUGUGUGAAAGUUUUAAGCUUUGAUUUAGUAAAUUGCAUGUGAAAUUAGUCAAUAGGACUUAUGUGUGACACUUUUAAAAUGUGAUAGGUUAAUCUAUAAGGAUCUAUUAGUGCAUGUAAUCAAAGGGUGGACUUGCAUGUCAAUUUCCCCCAUUUAAUUACUAGUGGCCGGUCAUGACAAAGGGUGAUGGGCAAAACAUGUCAUAAAACAUGUUGUGAUAAUGGUUUAUGUUAGAAAAAAAUAAAAUAAGGAGCAUGAGCAAUAAAAUAAUAAUGGGAAGGUAAAUGAUGAAAAAAAAUGUGUGUGUGGUUGCCCCCCCCCCCAUUGCCGUGAAUUGAAAAAAAAAAGAAAGAAGUUCUCAUGUUUUUCUUGGCCGAAUGGGAGAAAGAGAAGAAGGGGGAAGAGCUUUGAGAAAAUCGGCUAUGGUGGGUUGCUAGACUAAGGUAUGUUUGAUGUUGUCCAUGAGAUUCAUGCAUGUUUUUAGUUGUUAGUUUGAGUUCUACCUAGCCCAUGGUUUAAAUCUUUGCUAUGAGAUGGAGAUGAUAUUCGGCCAUGGGUGUUGUCUUCUUGGUUGAUGUUUGAUGUUGUGGUGAUGAGGCAUGAAGAUGAGUCAAGUUUCGGCUAAGGUGGAUUUGUGUUGAUGUCAUUUGCAUGCUAAGUGUGAAGCUUUGUAAUGAUACAUGUGAUGGUGAUUGAUGACUCUUGGAUUUUCUUUUUGGCAUUUUUGAGUUAGACAUUAAGUUCCUUGUGUAACCCAUGACCAAAAUUGAAUGGUAUGGUGUCUUGAUGCAUUCGGCCAUGGUAGAAAGUAUAUGUGAAAUGGUAGUAAGGUGAAGUGCAAAAUGUUAGUAUUUGAUUACUAGUGUAUAUAUGCGUAUUAGCCGAGUUUUGAACUUGAAACAAAAUGAUAUAUAAUCAAUACAAGUAACUAUACUUGUAGGAAGUAUUAAGCAUAUAAUCGGCCUCAACAUAGACAUGCAUAUUCGGCCAUAGGAAGAAGAUUGGUGUUGCAUGUAUUCGGUUAGAGGCAAGCAUAUUGAUGCUUUUAUCUUGGCUUAGACAAUCGGCUAAAAGAGAGUGUGGGCUAAUAUGUUGAGUUGAUUUAUGAUUUCAUAUGUAUGUGACUUUAAUGUCUAAUGUAUAUAUAUAUGGGCUAAGUACCUUGAGUUCCUCUUUUGAUGCUCAAAUGAUUAAAUCAAUUUAUUUGUUAAAUUAAGCUCAAGAGCAAAGGGGAACUAAAUCCGAUAAAGGGAAGGAAAAAGUGGUCGAAUAGCCAUCGAAAUCGUUCGACAACAUCCGGGGUAAGUUUUCGAGCAAUGAGACUUAGUUUAUGAUUUCAUUAAGUCAUGAUGUAUGAGCAUAACAAAUAUACGGUGAUAUGAUGAUUCUACUUGAAUUAUAUGAUGAGUUAAUUAGUCUAUACGUAUGACGGGUAGCCGUAUGUGCAUAGAGAUCGUGUCAUAAAGCAAACUAAACCAUGCUGUUUGUAUGUGGCUAGUGAGCCGAAAAUGGGAGUGCUUAAUACGUGACUUGUGUUUGAACUCUAAUUAUGAAAAUGAGAUAUAAAUGUGUCAUGAUUUAUUGAUAUGUGCAUGAAUAUUCGGAUGAUAACCGGGCUAAGUCCCGAAGGCAUUUGUGUGAGUUAUUACAUCCGGGCUAAGUCCCGAAGGCAUUUGUGCGAGUUAUUACAUCUGGGCUAAGUCCCGAGGGCAUUUGUGCGAGCUACUAUAUCCGGGCUAAGUCCCGAAGGCAUUGGUGCGAGUUACUAUAUCCGGGCUAUGUCCCGAAGGCAUUGAGCGAAUAGCUAUAUCCAGUUAAAUCUCGAAGGUACUUGGCUUGGGAAUGAACGACCUUGCUGUAAUAGUUUCAAUUAAUAUGCUCGUAAAAUCCCAGCAAUGAGGUAUGUCUCGUACAUGCAUCGAUUUAGUUGAUCCCUUACAGUUAGUAUUCGCUCAGUCGAUAAAUGAGCUACCGGCCUUUGGCUAAGUUGAUCUUUUGUGUAUGAAUAUAAGGGUUGGUAAUGUGAAGUAAGUGUGAUAUUGAGAAUUUGUGCAUAUGAAAUUAUCCGUUUAGCCAUAUGAAUGCUACGCUUUAGUUGUGUCUAAUUUCAUGGCUCAAAACUUACUAAGCAUUUAAUGCUUACUCCGUUUCUUUGAUUCUCUGUUUUAUAGAUUUUGGUUCGUCAGCUAUAGGACUUGGGAUUAUUGAAGUUGAAGUCUCCCACACUAUCAAAGCCCCUUUUGGUACACUUUUGGUUGAACUUUGAAAUGGCAUGUAUAGGACUACCCUUUUGUUGUGGGUCAUGUACCCUUUGGUUUUGUAUAAAUUUGGAUAGCCAUGCGAAAAUGGCUUAUAUAUAUUUUUGAGCAUAAUGUUAUAAUCAUUUUGUAUGUAUAUGGUUAUUGAGAGGUGUGGAUAUGCUUGGAAAAGAUUGGCCAUUGGAAUGGUUAAUCAUGAUCAUACUUUGUGCUAUAUGCUAAAGGGUUAGUUGAAUCAUGGAAACUAUGUAAUAGGUAAAGUCUACCUUAAAGGCAGAUGCUGACAGCAGCAGUGGUGUGAAUUUGAAAAAUCACUAAAAAUAGUAGGAAUGGAAUUAAAUAGUGAAUAAAUUAUGUAAUCGAACCUUGAUGAACCUACUUCCAUAUGGAAGAAACGAAACGGUCAUAUGAGUCGUAUUUUAAGAGAUAUUUAAGUUUUCGCGGGACAGGGCCAGAGCAAUUUCUGGAUCCCCUGAUCUUACUUUGGAAAUUCAUUAUAAAUUAACCAGAGAUAAUUAGAAGUCAUGCCAUAUAUGUAUAGAUUCCUUUUUGAGUCUAGUUUCAUUAGAAAGAAACGGCAUAAGUAUUGAAGCCCUGUAUAAGGAGUUAUCUAAGUCGCAAUGCAGGAAGGUCAGUAUAGUCGAACCCUGUAACAGGGGAGAAUUUAACUAAUAAACUGUACUAUUUGGCUCGACCAAAAAUUCUAGAAAAAAAUUUGUGGAUGUAUAUAUGAGUUUAGUUUCAGGGAAAAAUUACGAAACUGAUUUUCGAGUUUUGGAACUCAAGAUAUGAUUUUUAAGGUGACAGUGACGCAGUUAGCAAACUGUCUGGAAAAUUUUUAAAAUGGACUGUGAACAUACAUGAAUUAUGUCUGUUAGCACCUCGUGGUCGCUUCCGACAACGGUCUCGGGUACGGAGUGUUACAUAACUAGAGUUUAAAAAAUUAAUAAUAAAUUUUAUCCUACCCUUCAUCCUUUUUCAUAUUCAUUUCAUGUAGUCAUUUUCAACCUUUGUUUUCAUGUUAUUAUAACAAUGAGAAUUUCUCGGAUUUUUUGAGUAGUAGUAGAACUCAGUGAGCGAGUAAAUUGAAAAUUUUAAAAAUGUAUUAUAAACCAAAAACUAAUUAAAAGUAUGCUAACCUGGGUUUUAGCUUUUCUUUUUUGUGGAACAAAGUGAUAGAAAUCGAGUCAAUGCCAUUAAAUGACGUCAGCCUCCCCCGGUAUCUUUACUUCCGCCCACUGCAAUUGGGAAAUUCCUUAUCUUUAACCUUAGUUUUAUUGUUCCAUCUUUAAUCUUUGUUUUGUUUCUUUAUAUUUUUAGCUCAAACCCGAAAUUUCAGACAAAUAAAUAAAUAAUGUGUUUCAAGUGACUAACGUUUCUAUUACCUUCUCUAAAAAUUUUGAUUCCACUGUCCCUGAUGUUUAAUCUCAGCCGUUCGAUUUUCUUGUACUUACUAACCGUCGUCGUCGUGACGGCACAGUCGACAGCUCCACCACCAAGGGGAGACUCGUACCGUCUUUACAGUCAUUUCGACCACACGAUGGCCAUCGUCGUUAUGGUCCUCGUCGGCGCUUUCUUCUUCGUCUGGAUCCUCUCCAUUUACAUCCGUCAUUACGACGAAUCUUACCCGAUCGCCACCGCCACUGCAGCUUCCUCUGCUCAAAGGUUCCGGCCAAGC